rnacentral:rRNA from 1 species
AGUAACACGUAAGCAACCUGCCUAUCAGAGGGGAACAACAGUUAGAAAUGACUGCUAAUACCGCAUAUGCCUUAGUAUCGCAUGGUACAAAAGGGAAAGGAGCAAUCCGCUGAUAGAUGGGCUUGCGUCUGAUUAGCUAGUUGGUGGGGUAAAGGCCUACCAAGGCGACGAUCAGUAGCCGGACUGAGAGGUUGAACGGCCACAUUGGGACUGAGAUACGGCCCAGACUCCUACGGGAGGCAGCAG